rnacentral:rRNA from 1 species
UACGUAGGGUGCAAGCGUUAAUCGGAAUUACUGGGCGUAAAGCGUGCGCAGGCGGCUUUGCAAGACAGAUGUGAAAUCCCCCGGGCUUAACCUGGGGAACUGCAUUUUGUGACUGCAUGGCUGGAGGUGCGGGCAGAGGGGGAUGGAAUUCCGCGUGUAAGCAGUGAAAUGCGUAGAUAUGCGGAGGAACACCGAUGGCGAAGGCAAUCCCCUGGGCCUGCACUGACGCUCAUGCACA